CCCUUAGAUGUUCUGGGCCGCACGCGCGCUACACUGAUGCAUUCAACGAGUUUCUUCCUGGUCCGAGAGGAAUGGGUAACCUUUUGAAAGUGCAUCGUGAUAGGGAUAGACUAUUGCAAUUAUUGGUCUUCAACGAGGAAUUCCUAGUAAGUGUGAAUCAUCAGUUCGCGCUGAUUACGUCCCUGCCCUUUGUACACACCGCCCGUCGCUGCUACCGAUUGAGUGGUCCGGUGAAUUAUUCGGACCGGUGGACUGUGGGGUAACUCGCGGUCUGCUGGGAAGUCUUGUGAACCUUAUCACUUAGAGGAAGCAGAAGUCGUAACA
rnacentral:rRNA from 1 species